GAGGGUAUAGCUCAGGGGUAGAGUACAUGUCUCACAUUCAGGCGGUCCUGGGUUCAAUCCCCAGUCCCUCCA
rnacentral:tRNA from 1 species